rnacentral:misc_RNA from 1 species
GCAGGAUCAUAAAUAAAAAAGAUGAGAUUAUUAUGAUGAAAGUGUAUGCUGACAUUAUAAUGAUCUUGUCUAUGUUCUAAAUACAAAGUACCUUCACGAGGUUUAGAAUGAGUGAUAUAAGGAAAGUUAUAUUAGCUAAAUUUAUGUAUGUGGUAAAUGAGUUGAUUGAUUAUAAGGGUGUGUGUGGCUAGGUGUAGAGAAUUAAUAUUAAAUGUAUCAAGAGAGAUUUAAGUUGGUUUUUAUACCGGUGAUGUUAAAUUUUCUAUACUUUUAACAACUCAUUUAUUACAACA